ACAAAACAUCAAAGGAGACCCCAAGAGGAAGCAAUGCUGAAAAUGUUGAUACCAUAAACCAAGAAUUUUCAGGCUGUCUUUGAAGUAGUUUAAAAUGAUUGCACAGAAUAACAAGUGGGAAAAAAUAUAGCAGCUCCUCUGUCUCUUCGAGUGGAACGGCACAAGCAGAAUCAUUCAGCAGAGAGUUUAUAUUAUUAUCUCAGCAUGGUGAAUAAUUGCAAGCAUCAAAAUCAACACUACUAAAAGAAGUGACUUCAGAAGACUUCAAGAACAUUCCAGGUCAAAGUGCUUCUACCUGAAGAACAGAUCAUACAAUCUUCUAAGGUCCCUUCCACCUACUACAGUUUUCAGAAUGGUUAUGUCCUUCCUGUCAUUUCCAAGUCUGGGACAGACUUGAUUUAGUGGUUCAAGAGGUCCAUUUUUCUCUUUUAUUUUUUCGGUCUUAUUCAGAUACUGUGUCCAAAAUUGAGAAAUAUUAUUAUAAAGUGUGUUAUAUGUAGUAAA
rnacentral:lncRNA from 1 species